GAUGAACGCUGGCGGCGUGCCUAAUACAUGCAAGUCGAGCGAACAGACGAGGAGCUUGCUCCUCUGACGUUAGCGGCGGACGGGUGAGUAACACGUGGAUAACCUACCUAUAAGACUGGGAUAACUUCGGGAAACCGGAGCUAAUACCGGAUAAUAUAUUGAACCGCAUGGUUCAAUAGUGAAAGACGGUUUUACUGUCACUUAUAGAUGGAUCCGCGCCGCAUUAGCUAGUUGGUAAGGUAACGGCUUACCAAGGCAACGAUGCGUAGCCGACCUGAGAGGGCGAUCGGCCACACUGGAACUGAGACACGGUCCAGACUCUUACGGGAGGCAGCAGUAGGGAAUCUUCCGCAAUGGGCGAAAGCCUGACGGAGCAACGCCGCGUGAGUGAUGAAGGUCUUCGGAUCGUAAAACUCUGUUAUUAGGGAAGAACAAAUGUGUAAGUAACUAUGCACGUCUUGACGGUACCUAAUCAGAAAGCCACGGCUAACUACGUG
rnacentral:rRNA from 1 species